GAUGAACGCUGGCGGCGUGCUUAACACAUGCAAGUCGAGCGAAGCACUUAUGAUUGAAUUUUUCGGAAUGAUUUCAUUUGUGACUGAGCGGCGGACGGGUGAGUAACGCGUGGGUAACCUGCCUCAUACAGGGGGAUAACAGUUAGAAAUGACUGCUAAUACCGCAUAAGCGCACAGUACUGCAUGGUACAGUGUGAAAAACUCCGGUGGUAUGAGAGGGACCCGCGUUUGAUUAGCUAGUUGGUGAGGUAACGGCCCACCAAGGCGACGAUCAAUAGCCGACCUGAGAGGGUGACCGGCCACAUUGGGACUGAGACACGGCCCAAACUCCUACGGGAGGCAGCAGUGGGGAAUAUUGCACAAUGGGGGAAACCCUGAUGCAGCAACGCCGCGUGAGUGAAGAAGUAUUUCGGUAUGUAAAGCUCUAUCAGCAGGGAAGAAAAUGACGGUACCUGACUAAGAAGCCCCGGCUAACUACGUGCCAGCCGCCGCGGUAA
rnacentral:rRNA from 1 species